CUUUCACCUCUGAAUAUUCACUAAGUGUUUAUUGAGUGAAUGUGAAUGGGUGAUUGGGA
rnacentral:pre_miRNA from 1 species